rnacentral:rRNA from 1 species
GAUGAACGCUGGCGGCGUGCCUAAUACAUGCAAGUCGAGCGAACGGACGAGAAGCUUGCUUCUCUGAUGUUAGCGGCGGACGGGUGAGUAACACGUGGAUAACCUACCUAUAAGACUGGGAUAACUUCGGGAAACCGGAGCUAAUACCGGAUGAUAUUUUGAACCGCAUGGUUCAAAAGUGAAAGACGGUCUUGCUGUCACUUAUAGAUGGAUCCGCGCUGCAUUAGCUAGUUGGUAAGGUAACGGCUUACCAAGGCAACGAUGCAUAGCCGACCUGGGAGGGUGAUCGGCCACACUGGAACUGAGACACGGUCCCGACUCCUACGGGAGGCAGCAGUAGGGAAUCUUCCGCAAUGGGCGAAAACCUGACGGAGCAACGCCGCGUGAGUGAUGAAGGUCUUCGGAUCGUAAAACUCUGCUAUUAGGGAAGAACAUAUGUGUAAGUAACUGUGCACAUCUUGACGGUACCUAAUCAGAAAGCCACGGCUAACUACGUG